GUGUAUUACAGCAAACACAUUGGUGGACUAUCAAUACAAGUUAUGACUUAAACUUCUACCUGGGAAUCACUUCCACUCUCUUGUCUAUUUCCGCAGAAGUGAAGGCCAAUCCAACUCUGAUGUUAGUGUCUCGGAAAAUAUAAUUAACCCCCCAUGAAGGGAAGCAGAUAGGAGUGAAUCACAGUAAAAUCCACCACUCCCUCAAUCCCAAUAUCUUUUCUUCAUUUGAGCGAUUUCUUCUCUUUUUUUUUUAACCUUUAUAGAUCCCUCUUAAAACAUCAAUCAGGAAACAGUGCUUAUGGACAUCAGCUUCACUGGUUCUAAAGCAAGGGUUUCACUGUUGGAAUGUGUAGUGUGACCUUGUUAGCAGAUAUCAACCUGAGACUUAAAUGAAUGACCUGGUUUUAGGACAGGCACCAUCCACAGAACUACAGGAUUUUCUGCUUGAUGGUUCCACACUUACGCACAAGAGGAGAACCCUCUUCACGAAAAGGACCAGAGCUCCUGUCUACUCGGUCAGCUGCUGGAUUCCUCUAAUAAGUUACCAGAACCAGGGACCCAGUAACUACUACUCAGCCAGUCCACAGAACCUGUGUGUAUGACAGCACCCUGGUAGUUCCCAAGGACCACAUCACUCCGUGAUGGAAACUCAGCUUGUUUCAGCAACAGUAAUGGGUUUUCUUGGACCCCUCAGCUCACCUGAAGAUGUCUCUUGGUUGGAUCUGUCCUGUCUCUGGGGCAGUUGGUUCAAGACAAGAGAAAUGUCUACAGACUGUCUCAUACCAGAAUGAUGGAGCCCAAACAGGGAAAUUGGCCAGAAAGCAAUGGCUUCAUGCUUGGUGAAGUGGACCAAAGUGAGAAGAAGAAGUUCUUACAAUGUGGCCAUUUCUUCUCAGACAUCGGACCUACUACAUCUGUUUCCUGGAUUCCCAUCCAUCCACUUCCUGUCUGUCCAGAAUUCUGUGUCCUUAUCAUUGUUCAUUAUGGUCAUCAUGUACAUUUUAA